AGCGAAUCUCAAAAAGACCGUCCCAGUUCGGAUUGCAGGCUGCAACCCGCCUGCAUGAAGUUGGAAUCGCUAGUAAUCGCGGAUCAGCGUGCCGCGGUGAAUACGUUCCCGGGCCUUGUACACACCGCCCGUCACACCAUGAGAGUCGGGAACACCCGAAGUCCGUAGCCUAACCGCAAGGGGGGCGCGGCCGAAGGUGGGUUCGAUAAUUGGGGUGAAGUCGUAACAAGGUACC
rnacentral:rRNA from 1 species